rnacentral:rRNA from 1 species
AUUGAACGCUGGCGGCAGGCUUAACACAUGCAAGUCGAGCGAGCGGCGGACGGGUGAGUAAUGUCUGGGAACCUGCCUGAUGGAGGGGGAUAACUACUGGAAACGGUAGCUACUACCGCAUACCACCAUUUGUGCCCAGAUGGGAGUAGCUAGUGGGGGGGGUAUUGGCUCACCUAGGCGACGAUCCCUAGCUGGUCUGAGAGGAUGACCAGCCACACGGGAACUGAGACACGGUCCAGACUCCUACGGGAGGCAGCAGUGGGGAAUAUUGCACAAUGGGCGCAAGCCUGAUGGAGCCAUGCCGCGUGUGUGAAGAAGGCCUUCGGGUUGUAAAACACUUUCAGCGAAGAAGCGUUAUUCGCAGAAGAAGCACCGGCUAACUCCGUGCCAGCAGCCGCGGUAAUUC